GACGAACGCUGGCGGCGUGCUUAACACAUGCAAGUCGAGCGGUAAGGCCCUUUCGGGGGUACACGAGCGGCGAACGGGUGAGUAACACGUGGGUGACCUGCCCUCAGCUCUGGGAUAAGCCUGGGAAACCGGGUCUAAUACUGGAUAUGACUCCAUGACGCAUGUUGUGGGGUGGAAAGCCUUGUGCGGCUGAGGAUGGGCCCGCGGCCUAUCAGCUUGUUGGUGGGGUGAGGCCUACCAAGGCGACGACGGGUGGCCGGCCUGAGAGGGCGACCGGCCACACUGGGACUGAGACACGGCCCAGACUCCUACGGGAGGCAGCAGUGGGGAAUCUUGCGCAAUGGGCGGAAGCCUGACGCAGCGACGCCGCGUGAGGGAUGACGGCCU
rnacentral:rRNA from 1 species